AGAGUUUGAUCAUGGCUCAGAACGAACGCUGGCGGCAGGCUUAACACAUGCAAGUCGAACGCCCCGCAAGGGGAGUGGCAGACGGGUGAGUAACGCGUGGGAAUCUACCCAGAACUUCGGAACAACUGAGGGAAACUUCAGCUAAUACCGGAUACGCCCUACGGGGGAAAGAUUUAUCGGUUCUGGAUGAGCCCGCGUUGGAUUAGCUAGUUGGUGAGGUAAAGGCUCACCAAGGCGACGAUCCAUAGCUGGUCUGAGAGGAUGAUCAGCCACACUGGGACUGAGACACGGCCCAGACUCCUACGGGAGGCAGCAGUGGGGAAUAUUGGACAAUGGGCGAAAGCCUGAUCCAGCCAUGCCGCGUGAGUGAUGAAGGCCUUAGGGUUGUAAAGCUCUUUCAGUAGGGAAGAUAAUGACGGUACCUACAGAAGAAGCCCCGGCUAACUUCGUGCCAGCCGCCGCGGUAA
rnacentral:rRNA from 1 species